rnacentral:rRNA from 1 species
AGCAAGACCGUGAGGUGGAGGCAAAACUCAAAAACUUAGUCUCAGUUCGGAUUGUAGGCUGAAACUCGCCUACAUGAAGCUGGAGUUGCUAGUAAUCGCGAAUCAGCAUGUCGCGGUGAAUACGUUCCCGGGCCUUGUACACACCGCCCGUCACACCAUGAGAGUUGGCAAUACCCAACGUACGUGAUCUAACCCGCAAGGGAGGAAGCGUCCUAAGGUAGGGUCAGCGAUUGGGGUGAAGUCGUAACAAGGUAAC